CCUACGGGAGGCAGCAGUGGGGAAUAUUGGACAAUGGGCGAAAGCCUGAUCCAGCCAUGCCGCGUGUGUGAAGAAGGUCUUCGGAUUGUAAAGCACUUUAAGUUGGGAGGAAGGGCAUUAACCUAAUACGUUAGUGUUUUGACGUUACCGACAGAAUAAGCACCGGCUAACUCUGUGCC
rnacentral:rRNA from 1 species